AUCUGAUCCAGAAGUUAAUAGCACAGAUUGAAUAUAACUUCUCAGAUGAGAACCUUGAGAAAGAUGCAUUCCUCCUAAAGCAUGUGAGAAGAAAUAAGAUGGGCUAUGUCAGUGUUAAACUCCUCACUUCUUUUAAGAAUGUGAAACAGCUUACCCGUGACUGGAGAACCACGGCAUAUGCACUGAAGUACUCAAACACUCUUGAACUCAAUGAAGAUAACAGAAAAGUUAGAAGAAAGACUCCAGUUCCAGUGUUUCCAAGUGAAAGCCACCCUACCAAGAUGCUACUGGUGUAUGAUAUCCACUUGAUUUCUGAGCUGCAGGUUCUCCACAACAAAGAACAAGAAAAUGGAUGUAUGCAAGAAAAGAUAAUGGAGCAUCUCCUCAAAGCCUUUGUAACUUUUGGUGUCAUUUCAUCCAUUCGUAUUCUCAAACCUGGUAGGGAUCUACCACCUGAUGUCAAGAGGUUCAGCAGUCGAUACAACCAAGUAGGAACACAGGAAUGUGCAAUUAUAGAAUUUGAAGAAGUAGAUGCUGCUAUACGUGCUCACGACUCCAUGUGUGCUGAAAAGAAAGAGACUAGCAUGAAAGUUGUCCUAAUAGGCAUGAAACCUCCAAAGAAAAAAGUUCCCAAAGACAAGAACCGUUAUGACGAUUCCACCAAGAGUCUUAACAAGGUUAGAUCCCUGAACAAGAGAGUUGAAGAGCUUCAGUUUGUUGGUGAUGAAUCUUCAGCGAAUAGCUCUUCUGACCCAGAGAGUAAUCCUACAUCACCAUUGUCAGGACGCAGAAGUACUGCAACAAGCACUACGAAUAAAUUAAGCCCUAUUAUUCACCCAAACAACCAUUUGAGUCCUAAUGUGUCACCCAGAUCAAGUCCUUGGAAUAGUCCAUCUUCACUAAGAAAAGCGACCAAAAAGUCUCCUCUUGCUGAAGACGGCAAACUUAACCCAAACACUAGCCCUGAAAUUCCAGGGAAAGGCACAGAUUAUUCUUCAGAUAGCAGUAUCACUCCUUCUAGCAGCCCAUGGGUACAAAGACGACGACAAGGUCAAAUGGUAACACAAGAGAAGAGUCCAGUCAGUAGCCCCAUGCUGGCUCGCAAAAUACAAAAUGCAGAUGGUCUGCCUGUAGGGGUGCUGCGGCUACCUAAAGGGCCUGACGGCACUAAAGGAUUCCAUAGCGGAUGUGAAAGAAGGAAAGCUAUGAAGAAUGAAUAAAUCAUUCCUUACAAACAUUUUUGCAAGACAGCCAGCUGCUUUUGUUCAAGCCUAGUGAACGACUGUCAACUGAGUGACUGAAUUAAAUCAGUAUUUAAUUUUUAAAAAUUUUGUAUUCAUGUAGAGACUUUAUAAUUUGUAUAUUGCUGUAUUCACUUAUCUGUGUUUUUUUUUUUUUUAUGUAUUAGUUUGAAAUGCCUAAACAUUGAAACAGGCACUAUUUGUAAAGCUAUGACCCUGAAGACUAGUGUGUAGACACUUACUGUUUAGCAGUUGUAUUUUGAUAGCUAUGGUAUAUUACUAGUCUUAUCUUAAGGAAUAGAGUUUUUGAAACCUUCCUGGUUUGGUUUUGUCUCAAAAGGAACUGAGAAAUGUACGCUACAGUGAGCAGUUCUCACCUUGCAUUUAUCUCCAAAGACACUAACUAUGGCUUACAGGACCAAAGUAGGCCAACUUCAGUUACUGUAGUACAGUUGUUUUUGAAACACAACAUGAACAGAUCAAAGGUGUUUGUAAUUAAUCAACCAAUAGUUCUGUACUGGACAGAAGACAACUCAGCUAUAUCAAAGUCAUAGACACCAUCAAGCCCUGGAGAACAGCUGGAAAACCUUUUGUGUGCGACCGAUUUACUCUCUGGGCAAGUUAGAGAAGUGGACAGAAGAAAUAUGAAACCCGGCUGAACAACCGCAACUCCUGCUUUCCUCAUAUCUCACUAGUCUGCUGCUACACAUUACAGACACCUGGCUGAGUUUCAUUGGCAGAUCUAAACUAAGUUACAUAAAGAAAAGAUAUCUCAAUCAGUCCAAGCAUAGAAGCACUGAUCUGUAAUUCUUAAAAGAUACUCCAAAGUGUUAACUGUCAAAAUACUUAAUAUAGGAAGAGUACAGUCAGGAUGAAGUUAGGAGCGCAGUAAUUAGAUUGACAGUAUACAGUUCAAUCACUUCUUUGGAAGCUGGGGACUAUUACAGCCCAUUUAUAGCCAUAAUAUUUCAUAUUAACAGCUGCACCUUUCAGCUUCUCUGUGACUUCAGAGCUCUGCAGGGAGCCAAGGAUGGAUGUGACAGCUGUUUCUUGCUCUAUUUUACACAUAUAUAAGCAGUCACUUGAAAGUGGACAAAGCAAACAACUAAAUGCUUACCUGGGACAUCACAGAAUGAGCUCCUGGCCCCCGACAAGGUGCACUGCUCAGUCCAGACAGCUGCUUCUCUGAAGAGCUGAUGGCAAAGCUACAUGUGUUUCCUCCAGCUGCAGCUAGAAAGUCGUAUUAUUCAUUAGCUGGCCUGAUAGCUUAGCACGUGAGUAAUAGCUUAGCACGUGAGUAAUGCAAGUUCUCAGCAGAAAAGCUAUCCUUCGAUGAAACAUUAAAUUUGGUAAAUUGAUAAGAGACAAAUCCACUGUGCACAACCAAAUUACAGGGCAUUUAAAUGCAUUCAUUUAGAUUCUCAGUAUCUACAUAUUAAUAUGCUAAAAUGGUGAUUUA